rnacentral:rRNA from 1 species
CUAGGAUUAGAUACCCUAUUAUUUAAAAUGUAAAAACUAAAGUAUUAAUAGAUAUGGUCUUUAAACUUAAAAAAUUUGGCGGUAUUUUAGUCUAUUCAGAGGAACCUGUUUUAUAAUCGAUAAUCCACGUUGGACCUUACUUUAAUUUAUAAAUUAGUUUAUAUACCGUCGUUAUAAAAAAUUUUAUAAGAAUAAUAAUUUUUAAAAUUUUAUAUCAGAUCAAGGUGUAGCUUAUAUUAAAGAAAAUAAUGGGUUACAAUAAAAUUAUUUAUAUGAAUAUAAAAAUGAAAAAUUUAUUGAAAGAGGAUUUGAAAGUAAAAUUAAAUAGAUUUUUAAUUUGAUUUUAGCUCUAAAAUAUGUACAUAUCGCCCGUCACUCUUAUUAUUAAAAUAAGAUAAG